GAAGGGGGCUCAACUGCAUAGCAAGACGGAAGAAAAAGUUUGCCUGAAGUCUCUCUCUAGACACUGGAGCCCUCUCUGCCCUCCCCCUUCCCAGAAGCAACCCUCAACUAAUGACUGACACAGUUACUGGAUAAAUAUCCCAGCUCCCUUGCCUCAUGAGUGACAUAAAGCUGAGCAAAUAAACAGAGCUAAAAUACCUUUUCUUCUCUUCUCUACUUGAAGAACUCCAAUUCAUCUUUCAAGACUCAAUGUCACCUCCACAGUGGAUGCUUCCUAAGUCUCAG